GUGCGAGCGUUGUCCGGAAUUACUGGGCGUAAAGAGCUCGUAGGCGGUUUGUCGCGUCGUCUGUGAAAACCAGCAGCUCAACUGCUGGCUUGCAGGCGAUACGGGCAGACUUGAGUACUGCAGGGGAGACUGGAAUUCCUGGUGUAGCGGUGAAAUGCGCAGAUAUCAGGAGGAACACCGGUGGCGAAGGCGGGUCUCUGGGCAGUAACUGACGCUGAGGAGCGAAAGUGUGGGGAGCGAACAGG
rnacentral:rRNA from 1 species